GAGUUUGAUCCUGGCUCAGAUUGAACGCUGGCGGAAUGCUUUACACAUGCAAGUCGAGCGGCAGCGCGGGGCAACCUGGCGGCGAGCGGCGAACGGGUGAGUAAUGCAUCGGAACAUGUCCAUGUCGUGGGGGAUAGCCCGGCGAAAGCCGGAUUAAUACCGCAUACGCCCGAGAGGGGAAAGUGGGGGACCGCAAGGCCUCACGCGAUUGGGUUGGCCGAUGUCCGAUUAGCUAGUUGGCGGGGUAAAAGCCCACCAAGGCGAUGAUCGGUAGCUGGUCUGAGAGGAUGAUCAGCCACACUGGGACUGAGACACGGCCCAGACUCCUACGGGAGGCAGCAGUGGGGAAUUUUGGACAAUGGGGGCAACCCUGAUCCAGCCAUUCCGCGUGAGUGAAGAAGGCCUUCGG
rnacentral:rRNA from 1 species